CCUACGGGUGGCAGCAGUGGGGAAUAUUGCGCAAUGGGCGAAAGCCUGACGCAGCGACGCCGCGUGAGGGAUGAAGGUCUUCGGAUCGUAAACCUCUGUCAGCAGGGAAGAACGGUCACUGUGCUAAUCAGCAGUGAAUUGACGGUACCUGCAAAGGAAGCACCGGCUAACUCCGUGCCAGCAGCCGCGGUAAUACGGAGGGUGCGAGCGUUAAUCGGAAUUACUGGGCGUAAAGCGCGCGUAGGCGGUAUGUCAAGUCAAGGGUGAAAUCCUCGGGCUCAACGUGUGAACUGCCUUUGAAACUGGCAAACUGGAGUGUGUGAGAGGAUAGUGGAAUUCCAGGUGUAGGAGUGAAAUCCGUAGAUAUCUGGAGGAACAUCAGUGGCGAAGGCGACUAUCUGGAACAUAACUGACGCUGAGGAGCGAAAGCGUGGGUAGCAAACAGGAUUAGAUACCCCUGUAGUC
rnacentral:rRNA from 1 species